AUGAUGAGAAGCUUUCAGAAGCUGAAGAAUCAUCAGAUGCUCCAAUGGAAGCAGAAGAUAAACAAUAGAUGUGUAUAGCUCAGAAAUCUGUGUGAUCUGUAUUAAGGAACAGAGGCUUGAACCACGACCACUGCCAUCCCCAGGACCAUUGAUACCACCAAAAUAAAUCCUCCUGUGGAUUGAAGGAUUUUCAGUUGCAAGUCUGAGAAUCAAUUGGCUGGGCUAAGUAGAAUGACCAAACUGCAGCAUUCUAAAUGCCGGCGUGUGCCAUCCCAACUAUAGGUCAAGAAUUAAGAUUUCCAUGUAUUGUCAGUUCAAAUUACUGUAUAUUAUAAAUGGACGGGCAUUUGUGAUGA